rnacentral:lncRNA from 1 species
CAUUCCGCUGGCAUCUUGCGUUCACGCCUCCGUUUGACUGUCGCUCGGGCUAAAAAGAAACGUUGAUGAAACUACAAACUAAGGCCUAAAAGUUUCAUUAUCUCACUGCUUGCAUCAACAGCGACAGGGUUAUCUGUCUUCUUCGUGAAAAAGCCAGGCAGAGGAAGAGAACUGGGUGGCGUGAUGUAAUAAAAGCCGAUCCGGCAUAAAACCCAUUAACUAUGUGCAUCGACUCAGUGAGUCGAACCUGAGUCGGAACCAGAACGGCAUCAGGACCCAGCAUAUCGAUUGAGACGAAACCCAGGUCUUCACUUUUCAGUUUUCACAGCCUGUGUGUUAUGACUCUCUCUUGGAGUCUCAUCCUUCUUUCCGGGCUCGAUUAAAUCUUCCUUGCCUCGUUUGAGAAUCUUGACUUGUCCCGUAACAAGGUUGCUGUUGUUGUUCUUGGGUACAGCGG